rnacentral:rRNA from 1 species
CCUACGGGAGGCAGCAGUGGGGAAUUUUGGACAAUGGGCGCAAGCCUGAUCCAGCAAUGCCGCGUGAGUGAAGAAGGCCUUCGGGUUGUAAAGCUCUUUUGUCAGGGAAGAAACGGUGAGGGCUAAUAUCCUUUGCUAAUGACGGUACCUGAAGAAUAAGCACCGGCUAACUACGUGCCAGCAGCCGCGGUAAUACGUAGGGUGCAAGCGUUAAUCGGAAUUACUGGGCGUAAAGCGUGCGCAGGCGGUUUUGUAAGUCUGAUGUGAAAUCCCCGGGCUCAACCUGGGAAUUGCAUUGGAGACUGCAAGGCUAGAAUCUGGCAGAGGGGGGUAGAAUUCCACGUGUAGCAGUGAAAUGCGUAGAUAUGUGGAGGAACACCGAUGGCGAAGGCAGCCCCCUGGGUCAAGAUUGACGCUCAUGCACGAAAGCGUGGGGAGCAACAGAUAGAUACCUCGUAGUCGACGACCGUAACGUACUGUCUACUAGUUGUCGGUCGUUAUUGUACGUGUACGUCGNGCGUACGCGU